AUUGAACGCUGGCGGCAGGCCUAACAUAUGCAAGUCGAACGAGUGGCGGACGGGUGAGUAAUGUCUGGGAAACUGCCUGAUGGAGGGGGAUAACUACUGGAAACGGUAGCUAAUACCGCAUACCAUCGGAUGUGCCCAGAUGGGCUUAGCUAGUAGGUGGGGUAACGGAUCACCAAGGCGACGAUACCUAGCUGGGCUGAGAGGAGGAUCAGUGACAAUGGAACGGAGACACGGUCCAGACUCCUACGGGAGGCAGCAGUGGGGAAGAUUGGACAAUGGGCGAAAGCCUGAUCCAGCCAUGCCGCGUGUGUGAAGAAGGGCUACGGAUUGUAAAGCACUUUAAGUUGGGAGGCGUUACCAACAGAAUAAGCACCGGCUAACUUCGUGCCAGCAGCCGCGGUAAUUC
rnacentral:rRNA from 1 species